rnacentral:rRNA from 1 species
GUCUAAGUAUAAGCAAUUAUACCGUGAAACUGCGAAUGGCUCAUUAAAUCAGUUAUCGUUUAUUUGAUAGUACCUUACUACUUGGAUAACCGUGGUAAUUCUAGAGCUAAUACAUGCUAAAAACCCCAACUUCGGGAGGGGUGUAUUUAUUAGAUAAAAAACCAAUGCCCUUCGGGGCUCCUUGGUGAUUCAUGAUAACUUCUCAGAUCGCAUAGCCUUGAGCUGGCGACGGUUCAUUCAAAUUUCUGCCCUAUCAACUUUCGAUGGUAAGGUAGUGGCUUACCAUGGUUGCAACGGGUAACGGGGAAUUAGGGUUCGAUUCCGGAGAGGGAGCCUGAGAAACGGCUACCACAUCCAAGGAAGGCAGCAGGCGCGCAAAUUACCCAAUUCCGAUACGGAGAGGUAGUGACAAUAAAUACUGAUACAGGGCUCUUUUGGGUCUUGUAAUUGGAAUGAGUACAAUUUAAACCUCUUAACGAGGAACAAUUGGAGGGCAAGUCUGGUGCCAGCAGCCGCGGUAAUUCCAGCUCCAAUAGCGUAUAUUAAAGUUGUUGCAGUUAAAAAGCUCGUAGUUGAACCUUUGGCCUGGCUGGCAGGUCCGCCUCACCGCGUGCACUUGUCCGGCCGGGCCUUUUCUUCUGGAGAACCGCAUGCCCUUCACUGGGUGUGUUGGGGACCAGGACUUUUACUUUGAAAAAAUUAGAGUGUUCAAAGCAGGCCUUUGCUCGAAUACGUUAGCAUGGAAUAAUAGAAUAGGACGUGCGGUCCUAUUUUGUUGGUUUCUAGGACCGCCGUAAUGAUUAAUAGGGACAGUUGGGGGCAUCAGUAUUCAAUUGUCAGAGGUGAAAUUCUUGGAUUUAUUGAAGACUAACUACUGCGAAAGCAUUUGCCAAAGAUGUUUUCAUUAAUCAGUGAACGAAAGUUAGGGGAUCGAAGACGAUCAGAUACCGUCGUAGUCUUAACCAUAAACUAUGCCGACUAGGGAUCGGGCGGUGUUUCUAAUGUGACCCGCUCGGCACCUUACGAGAAAUCAAAGUGUUUGGGUUCUGGGGGG